UACGUAGGGUGCAAGCGUUAAUCGGAAUUACUGGGCGUAAAGCGUGCGCAGGCGGUUUUGUAAGUCUGCCGUGAAAUCCCCGGGCUCAACCUGGGAAUUGCAUUGGAGACUGCAAGGCUAGAAUCUGGCAGAGGGGGGUAGAAUUCCACGUGUAGCAGUGAAAUGCGUAGAGAUGUGGAGGAACACCGAUGGCGAAGGCAGCCCCCUGGGUCAAGAUUGACGCUCAUGCACGAAAGCGUGGGGAGCAAACAGG
rnacentral:rRNA from 1 species